ACGCCCCUACGGGACGCAGCAGUGGGGAAUAUUGCACAAUGGGGGAAACCCUGAUGCAGCGACGCCGCGUGAGUGAAGAAGUAUCUCGGUACGUAAAGCUCUAUCAGCAGGGAAGAAAAAAAGUCCUUUGGACUUUGGACGGUACCUGACCAAGAAGCCCCGGCUAACUACGUGCCAGCAGCCGCGGUAAUACGUAGGGGGCAAGCGUUAUCCGAAUUUACUGGGUGUAAAGGGAGCGUAGACGGCAGCGCAAGUCUGGAGUGAAAUGCCGGGGCCCAACCCCGGAACUGCUUUGGAAACUGUGC
rnacentral:rRNA from 1 species